rnacentral:rRNA from 2 species
AAUGGGCGCAAGCCUGAUGGAGCAACACCGCGUGAGUGAAGAAGGGUUUCGGCUCGUAAAACUCUGUUGUUGGAGAAGAACGUGCGUAAGAGUAACUGUUUACGCAGUGACGGUAUCCAACCAGAAAGUCACGGCUAACUACGUGCCAGCAGCCGCGGUAAUACGUAGGUGGCAAGCGUUAUCCGGAUUUAUUGGGCGUAAAGCGAGCGCAGGCGGUUGCUUAGGUCUGAUGUGAAAGCCUUCGGCUUAACCGAAGAAGUGCAUCGGAAACCGGGCGACUUGAGUGCAGAAGAGGACAGUGGAACUCCAUGUGUAGCGGUGGAAUGCGUAGAUAUAUGGAAGAACACCAGUGGCGAAGGCGGCUGUCUGGUCUGCAACUGACGCUGAGGCUCGAAAGCAUGGGUAGCGAACAGGAUUAGAUACCCUGGUAGUCCAUGCCGUAAACGAUGAGUGCUAGGUGUUGGAGGGUUUCCGCCCUUCAGUGCCGAAGCUAACGCAUUAAGCACUCCGCCUGGGGAGUACGACCGCAAGGUUGAAACUCAAAGGAAUUGACGGGGGCCCGCACAAGCGGUGGAGCAUGUGGUUUAAUUCGAAGCUACGCGAAGAACCUUACCAGGUCUUGACAUCUUGCGCCACCUCAGAGAUGAGGCGUUCCCUUCGGGGACGC